rnacentral:rRNA from 1 species
AUUGAACGCUGGCGGCAUGCCUAACACAUGCAAGUCGAACGGUAACAGGUCUUCGGAUGCUGACGAGUGGCGGACGGGUGAGUAAUGCGUAGGAAUCUGUCUUUUAGUGGGGGACAACCCAGGGAAACUUGGGCUAAUACCGCAUGAGCCCUGAGGGGGAAAGCGGGGGAUCUUCGGACCUCGCGCUAAGGGAAGAGCCUACGUCUGAUUAGCUAGUUGGUAGGGUAAAGGCCUACCAAGGCGACGAUCAGUAGCUGGUCUGAGAGGACGACCAGCCACACUGGGACUGAGACACGGCCCAGACUCCUACGGGAGGCAGCAGUGGGGAAUUUUUCGCAAUGGGGGCAACCCUGACGAAGCAAUGCCGCGUGGAUGAAGAAGGCCUUCGGGUUGUAAAGUCCUUUCGUGGGGGACGAAAAGGUGGUUCCUAAUACGAGCUGCUGUUGACGUGAACCCAAGAAGAAGCACCGGCUAACUCCGUGCCAGCAGCCGCGGUAAUACGUAGGGUGCGAGCGCUAAUCGGAAUCACUGGGCGUAAAGGGUGCGUAGGCGGUACGUUAGGUCUGUCGUGAAAUCCCCGGGCUCAACCUGGGAAUGGCGGGUAGAAACCGGCGCACUAGAGUAUGGGAGAGGGUGGGUGGAAUUCCAGGUGUAGCGGUGAAAUGCGUAGAGAUCUGGAGGAACAUCAGUGGCGAAAGCGGCCACCUGGGCCCAAUACUGACGCUGAGGCACGAAAGCGUGGGGAGCAAACAGGAUUAGAUACCCUGGUAGUCCACGCCCUAAACGAUGAAUACUAGAUGUUUGGUACCUAGCGUACUGAGUGUCGUAGCUAACGCGAUAAGUAUUCCGCCUGGGAAGUACGGCCGCAAGAUUAAAACUCAAAGGAAUUGACGGGGACCC